UACAGAGGUCUCAAGCGUUGUUCGGAUUCAUUGGGCGUAAAGGGUGCGUAGGUGGCGCCGUAAGUCGGGUGUGAAAUUUCGGAGCUUAACUCCGAAACUGCAUUCGAUACUGCGGUGCUUGAGGACUGGAGAGGAGACUGGAAUUCAUGGUGUAGCAGUGAAAUGCGUAGAGAUCAGUGAAGGAAGACCAGUGGCGAAGGCGGGUCUCUGGACAGUUCCUGACACUGAGGCACGAAGGCCAGGGGAGGCAAACGGG
rnacentral:rRNA from 1 species